rnacentral:lncRNA from 1 species
UAGUGGGGGACAUCGCGCCUGCGCACCACGACACGCCCGGGCAGGGGUCUAAUGGGCGGGGACGCCGCGCCUGCGCAAAGCGGACCCGCGGACGGUGGCGCUGGGUGGCCACGGAGGUCCCGCGCUCCCCGACCGAGAUAGGGCGGGCCCUAUUUCGGGGAGAUGUUGGGCACCAACAUUUUUUAAAGCCCCGUGGGUGGUUCUCCGGGAUCUCCCAGACCGAGAGGGCCUGAACGUCCAGACCUCAGGGAAUGGGGUCGAAGGGGCGGCGCUCGUCCGCGGAGGUGGGCGGGAGCGGCCCGGGGCCUCCGGCCUCUAGAGAGCGGGAGUGACCCUCGGUUUCUGGCCUCCGAGGGGCGGGAGCGAUCCUCAGCCAUGUCCCUAGUGUCUGGCUUCCGGCUGAUUUUUAAAUUUUUGGUAGAGGCGGGAUCUUGCUCUGUUGCCCAGGCUGGUCUCGAACUUGUGGCCUCAAGCGAUCCUACCUCCUCGGCCUCCCCAAGUGCGGAGAUUACAGACAGAGCCACUGCGCACGGCCGUGGUCAGCUUUGAAAGCUGGGUAGAUCCCUUUGGCUCAUACGCCUUUCUGCUAGCUUACCCUGAUUCUGCUUCUGGUUCAGAUAGUAUUUUAAUAUUUCUAGUGUGUCUUUUUCUAAGAUAUCUGAAAUCUUUUUGUGGAAUGAAGUGGCAUGAAAAAUAAACCAAUAAUCAUUAGCGACACCCUCUGUCUCUGAGUUGUGGGAGCCUUCCUCCUUCAGUCUGCAUGUACUGAAGCCAGUGUUUGCCGUACCAGCCCCUCAGCCGCAGCAGCCCACAGUGAGGUGCAGGUGCUCACGCCAUCGCCCCAGAGAGCUCCUCCAUUCGCCCCUCCACCCGUAGCCCCUCGAAACCACUGCCCUGCUCCCCGACACGGUACACUGUCUUCUCCAAGAUGUCAUGUGUUGGCAUCCUUUGGCCUGUGCCCACCGAAACUAGCUUCCUUCAACGGGCAUGUAGCCUGGGAGACCUGGGGCAUUUGGGUGCAUCUUUCCACUGCUGGUUGGUGCCCCCUGUGUGGAAGCAUCCGCGUUAGUUCACGCCUUCUCCUGCUCCUGCCGAC